AUGGCUUCUCUACAGCAGGGAGGGAGCUCUCCAACAUGGCCCCACUACAGCUGGAAGGGAGCUCUCCAACAUGGCCCCUCUACAGCAGGGAGGGAGCUCUCCAACAUGGCCCCUCUACAGCAGGGAGGGAGCUCUCCAACAUGGCCCCACUACAGCAGGGAGGGAGCUCUCCAACAUGGCCCCUCUACAGCAGGGAGGGAGCUCUCCAACAUAGCCCCACUACAGCAGGGAGGGAGUUCUCCAACAUGGCCCUACAACAGCAGGGAGGGAGCUCUCCAACAUGGCCCCACUACAGCAGGGAGGGAGCUCUCCAAUAUGGCCCCACUACAGCAGGGAGCUCUCCAACAUGGCCCCACUACAGCAGAGAGGCAGCUCUCCAACACGGCUCCUCUACAGCAGGGAGGGAGCUCUCCAACAUGGCCCCACUACAGCAGGGAGGGAGCUCUCCAACCUGGCCCCACUACAGCAGAGAGGCAGCUCUCCAACAUGGCCACUCUACAGCAGGGAGGGAGCUCUCCAACAUGGCCCCACAACAGCAGGGAGGGAGCUCUCCAACAUGGCCCCACUACAGCAGGGAGGGAGCUCUCCAACAUGGCCCCACUACAGCAGGGAGGGAGCUCUCCAACAUGGCCCUUCUACUGCAGGGAGGGAGCUCUCCAACAUGGCCCCAAUACAGCAGGGAGGGAGCUCUCCAACUUGGCCCCACUACAACAGGGAGGGAGCUCUCCAACAUGGCCCCACUACAGCAGGGAGGGCGCUCUCCAACAUGGCCCCACUACAGCAGGGAGGGAGCUCUCCAACAUGGCCCCUCUACAGCAGGGAGGGAGCUCUCCAACAUGGCCCCACUACAGCAGGAAGGGAGCUCUCCAACAUGGUCCCUCUACAGCAGGGAGGGAGCUCUCCAACAUGGCCCCUCUACAGCAGGGAGGGAGUUCUCCAACAUGGCCCCUCUACAGCAGGGAGGGAGCUCUCCAACAUAGCCCCACUACAGCAGGGAGGGAGUUCUCCAACAUGGCCCCACAACAGCAGGGAGGGAGUUCUCCAACAUGGCCCCACAACAGCAGGGAGGGAGCUCUCCAACAUGGCCCCACAACAGCAGGGAGGGAGCUCUCCAACAUGGCAGCAGGGAGGGAGCUCUCCAACAUGGCCCCACUACAGCAGGGAGGGAGCUCUCCAACAUGGCCCCACUACAGCAGAGAGGGCGCUCUCCAACAUGGCCCCACUACAGCAGGGAGGGAGCUCUCCAACAUGGCCCCACUACAGCAGGGAGGGAGCUCUCCAACAUGGCCCCACUACAGCAGGGAGGGAGCUCUCCAACAUGGCCCUACUACAGCAGGGAGGGAGCUCUCCAACAUGGCCCGACUACAGCGGGGAGGGAGCUCUCCAACAUGGCCCCUCUACAGCAGGGAGGGAGCUCUCCAACAUGGCCCCACUACAGCAGGGAGGGAGCUCUCCAACAUGGCCCCACUACAGCAGGGAGGGAGCUCUCAAACAUAG
rnacentral:lncRNA from 1 species